rnacentral:SRP_RNA from 1 species
CCGUGCUACACGGGGAACUAGCGAUGCCCUCUACCUGCAAUUCGCUUUAGCAGGGUGGACAUCCUGCCCAGAGGCGGAACAGCUCUGUUGGGCGGUAGCUAUCAACCGAUGAAGGUCCGAUCUGGCGCGGCGAAAGUCGGUGAACCUGGUCAGGGCGGGAACGCAGCAGCCAUAAGCCAUAACUUUCGGGUGUAGCCAGGCUACCGGACUGGAGGUUGGAACUACUUUAUCACGGAAUUGUCUCUGUCGAAGGCAGGGCACGG